rnacentral:rRNA from 1 species
UACCAGCACCCCGAGUGGUCGGGACGAUUAUUGGGCCUAAAGCAUCCGUAGCCGGCCUUACAAGUCCUCCGUUAAAUCCAGCUGCUUAACAGAUGGGCUACGGAGGAUACUAUAAGACUAGGAGGCAGGAGAGGCAAGCGGUACUCAGUGGGUAGGGGUAAAAUCCGUUGAUCCAUUGAAGACCACCAGUGGCGAAGGCGGCUUGCCAGAAUGCGCUCGACGGUGAGGGAUGAAAGCUGGGGGAGCAAACCGG